rnacentral:rRNA from 1 species
UACGAAGGGGGCAAGCGUUGUUCGGAAUUACUGGGCGUAAAGGGAGUGUAGGCGGUUAUGUAAGAUAGUGGUGAAAUCCCAGAGCUUAACUUUGGAAUUGCCAUUAUGACUAUGUGGCUAGAAUUACAGAGAGGAUAGUGGAAUACCCAGUGUAGAGGUGAAAUUCGUAGAUAUUGGGUAGAACACCAGUGGCGAAGGCGACUAUCUGGCUGUAUAUUGACGCUGAGGCUCGAAAGCAUG